rnacentral:snRNA from 1 species
GGAGUAUGAGGGCAGUCUGGCUGCAACGUGUCACGCCCUUGAUCGGCAGGGUUGCUUCCACUGAUCUGGCUGGCCGGGUGGCCAUCCAUGUGAGUCCUCCCUCAACCAUCCAUGGGAGUCUUCCGGAAGCUGUGUGCUCGGUAGACGAGGACGACAACCCUGGACAGAGUAGGACCGUUCCUCCAUCAAGGGUUUAUGAUUAGCUGCGCUACCCUGUUAGAAUCUCCAAACAAGCUCGCAAGGUCCAUAAGUAAUCAGUGUUUACCUACAUGUAGAAAAUGCUCCCCGAUGUUUACCAU